AGUUGGAAUCGCUAGUAAUCGCGGAUCAGCAUGCCGCGGUGAAUACGUUCCCGGGCCUUGUACACACCGCCCGUCACACCAUGAGAGUCGGGAACACCCGAAGUCCGUAGCCUAACAGCAAUGGGGGCGCGGCCGAAGGUGGGUUCGAUAAUUGGGGUGAAGUCGUAACAAGGUAGC
rnacentral:rRNA from 1 species